rnacentral:rRNA from 1 species
UACGUAGGGGGCUAGCGUUGUCCGGAAUCAUUGGGCGUAAAGCGCGCGUAGGCGGCCCGGUAAGUCCGCUGUAAAAGUCAAAGGCUCAACCUUUGAAUGUCAGUGGAUACUGCCGGGCUAGAGUCCGGAAGAGGCGAGUGGAACUCCUGGUGUAGCGGUGGAAUGCGCGGAUAUCAGGAGGAACACCGAUGGCGAAGGCAGCUCGCUGGGACGGUACUGACGCUGAGGCGCGAAAGCGUGGGGAGCGAACAGG